rnacentral:rRNA from 1 species
UACGGAGGGUGCGAGCGUUGUUCGGAAUUACUGGGCGUAAAGCGCGUGUAGGCGGCUUCUUAAGUGUGGUGUGAAAGCCCGGGGCUCACCCCCGGAAGUGCACUGGAAACUGGGAAGCUAGAGUACCGGAGAGGAGGGUGGAAUUCCUGGUGUAGCGGUGAAAUGCGUAGAUAUCAGGAGGAACACCGGUGGCGAAGGCGGGUCUCUGGGCCGAUACUGACGCUGAGGAGCGAAAGCGUGGGGAGCGAACAGG